rnacentral:rRNA from 1 species
UACGGGAAGGCAGCAGUGGGGAAUAUUGCACAAUGGGCGAAAGCCUGAUGCAGCUAUGCCGCGUGUAUGAAGAAGGCCUUAGGGUUGUAAAGUACUUUCAUCGGGGAGGAAAAAACAAAACUAAUAAUUUUAUUUCUUGACGUUACCCGAAAAAGAAGCACCGGCUAACUCCGUGCCAGCAGCCGCGGUAAUACGGAGGGUGCUAGCGUUAAUCAGAAUUACUGGGCGUAAAGAGCACGUAGGUGGUUUUUUUAAGUCAGAUGUGAAAUCCCUGGGCUUAACCUAGGAACUGCAUUUUGAAACUGAAAUACUAGAGUAUCGUAGAGGGAGGUAGAAUUCUAGGUGUAGCGGUGAAAUGCGUAGAUAUCUGGAGGAAUACCUGUGGCGAAAGCGGCCUCCUAAACGAAUACUGACACUGAGGGUGCGAAAGCGUGGGGAGCAAACAGGGAUUAGAUACC